rnacentral:rRNA from 1 species
GAUGAACGCUGGCGGCGUGCCUAAUACAUGCAAGUCGAGCGAACAGACGAGGAGCUUGCUCCUCUGACGUUAGCGGCGGACGGGUGAGUAACACGUGGAUAACCUACCUAUAAGACUGGGAUAACUUCGGGAAACCGGAGCUAAUACCGGAUAAUAUAUUGAACCGCAUGGUCCAAUAGUGAAAGACGGUUUUGCUGUCACUUAUAGAUGGAUCCGCGCCGCAUUAGCUAGUUGGUAAGGUAACGGCUUACCAAGGCAACGAUGCGUAGCCGACCUGAGAGGGUGAUCGGCCACACUGGAACUGAGACACGGUCCAGACUCCUACGGGAGGCAGCAGUAGGGAAUCUUCCGCAAAGGGCGAAAGCCUGACGGAGCAACGCCGCGUGAGUGAUGAAGGUCUUCGGAUCGUAAAACUCUGUUAUUAGGGAAGAACAAAUGUGUAAGUAACUAUGCACGUCUUGACGGUACCUAAUCAGAAAGCCACGGCUAACUACGUG